ACCUGUGUUUCUUCUGCACUCGCCGCUUUUGGUACUCGCUUAUUAAGAGCUCUGCAUAAAGAAUCUCAUUCCAGGUGUCCGGCACGCCGGGAAGACACCAAUGGCUGCAAUCUUGGAAAUGUAGUGGUGAUUUUCUUUCCUCUGGUGGUAUGUUACGUUUUCUAUAGAUUGAAGGGUGACCGUCCUUCCGGUAAUCUGUCAUUUGUGUGACAUUCAGGUAUGUGACAUGGGUCUUCAUCCCUCUUAGCACUCUCUCCAGCACCAACAUUUUGGGCGGAUACUGCCUC
rnacentral:lncRNA from 1 species